UGGCUCAGAGGUUAAAGCGUCUGCCUGGAAUGCAGGAGACCCGGGUUCUAUCCCUGG
rnacentral:tRNA from 1 species